ensembl:lncRNA
AGCACACCAGGCUCCUCUAAGACAGUAUAUUUUAAAUUAGUACAUUAUAUCUGUUUUUAACUUUUCUAAAUUCUGUGAUGAAAAGACUGUACAUGCAUAUCGUCAGAGUGUGGCCCUUAAAAUAACUGCCAGAAUGAAGCGCUGAUUUCUAGCUUGGGUGCAAAAAUAAUAGUCAGGAUCUGUCCUGUGGACACAACAGCUAGGGUAAAAUCUUUAUCAUUCAACUACUUAUGUGAAUUUUUCUAGGUUUUAACCUACAGUAAUAUUUCUCCCCAAACAUUCCAAACUCUGUAAUAGUAAGCUGUGACUGCUAGACCGUGAGCUGGGAGGGAGCGAUACUGUUGGUGAUUGUCUUGAGCACAUCCCUAGCACAUAACCCACAAGAGGCCCUAGUAUGCAGAUGAGGAUGUGACAGUGAUUUUGGAGUUGCCUUCAACUUUGGGGGAACAGAAGAAACUGAAACACAAAACAAACUUAGAGAAGCUGAAAGAAGCUAAAGUAUUUAAAAACAUAUUAAAUGGACCAAAAGAAGAUGGCAGCAACAGACCAUGGAACACGUCUGUACUGUUUUCCAGUCUCCACGGCCACCACCUGCCUCCACAGGCACCACCUAAGGAUUCUCAGAGCUGCAGGAAUGAGAGUUUUUUCAACUUUUAUCCUCAUGGUGACUCCCCAUGCAGUUUCUUGAGGGCUGUGGUAAACCAUUUCUCUGUAAUAAAAAUACCCAUGAUACUCUUUUCUCUACUGCCUCUUUGAAAUGUAAGAUGGCAGUAUUUAAAAAAAAAAGAUGGCAGUAUUAAAAUUGCUUAUAUUGAAUGUACUGUCAUUUCCAAAAUUCUUCACAUGGUCAAAUAAAAAUAUUCUCUUUGAAUAUGCAAA